rnacentral:lncRNA from 1 species
UUAUUCGGGCCUUAAGCCCAAACCGAAUAGAAACCAAGUUCGGGUUAGGCCAUGAGUUCAAACAACACGCUCAAAACUCAGGUCGCGAAUCCAACACGCCGCUCCAUGAAGAACUUCAACACAUGACCGAAAUGCUUCCACUACAUCCUCAGAUCUUCAUCUUCUCAUAUCGAUUUCAGAAGAUCGAUGAGCAAACUCAAUAAUAUUCAUGUUCAAGCUUCAAACCGGGAUCUAAACGCGUAUUCAUCUCAAAUCCGGCCAUGGCGGAAGAAACAUCCACACAUCCAACAUGUUUUCACCUUCGGAGAGCUCCAUAGGAACGAACACGCGGUUGGAGGAAAGCGUCUUUGAUGCAUUCGCUCAUGUCGAUCCACCAUACUCGAUUCCUCCUUGCGCACACGAAUUUGAAAAAUCCAACGAAGCCAGGUCGCAGUUGAACUGAAUCUUACGCGCAAAGAAAGAAACGAAGUCGAAGCAGUUUGAGAAAACUAACCGGAUUGCGACGUAAAUAGGUAUUGAAUCCCUUCUCCUUUCUCUAAUUCCGAUCUCAACUUCUUCUUCUUCUUCUUUAUCUCUCUGCUACCGUUUUUGCGUUAUUGUCGUGUCGUUAUGUGAGAAAGAGUGGAAGGAUUGAGGUUGGAGCUCAACUGAUUAGAGCUUUUGACGUUGAAGCUCUAACAGUUAUGGUGAUUCAGAGUGUGUGAUGAGGCUUGGGAGGAUUGAUAGAGUGAGCAGUUCUGGAAGAAAAAUGGAAUCAUCCCCCUGAAUGAACCGUGAGGUGAUGAAUUUAUAGGAAUAGAUUUUCUGUUAGAAACUCCAAAUGAAAUUCAGUUGAAAUGUCGUUGUAAUUCAUAGUUGGUUAGAAAUUAACAUUCUGUUAGAAAAUUAAAUUGAAAUGUUGUUGAAAUGUAUUCUAAUUUUCUGUUAAUUAUAAGGGUUAGUUAAAUGUUAUCCAUUGGGAAUAUUGAUGGAAACUGGUUCUGUUAGCUAAUGUGAAGUGAAAAAUCAAAAUUGAAAUGAACAUGAUAUUGCUAUCAAUUUCGGUUAUGGAACAAAAGGUACUGCUGUCAUAGCUUAUUAGUAACUGUUAGGUUUGUUUUGGUUUCGAUUGUUAGUGAGGUUAGCUUGUUAAGCCGCGAUGCCGUAUUCAUAUGUUAACUCUUCUUGGGUUAUGACUUGCAUGUUGUGGUUGCAGGAUAUUGUACAUUUUAGUUUGGUUUGAACAAAUGGAGCUGCAGGGUUAUUUUUGGAAGGGGGUUCAGUUCUGUUACGCGUUGGUGUUGUUGCGAAGUUGGUUAUAGGUUGUAAACAGUUAGCAUUUUAAAAUUCGUUUGGCUCUGGUGUAGUUAAGUGAAAAUUAUAAAAAAAUGUUAUCAUUUCCAUGGUUACAUGUUUGUGUGAACGUGGGUAUAGUGAUGCUGCCUGCAUUGUUUUGAAAUAUUCCUGCCAGAUUUUACAAGUCAUUCAUGCACAGGUGGUUGGUUUAUCAUAGGAUUCAUAUUAAGUGUUCUAUUAAAUUUUAUUUGCAGGUUCAGUUAAAUGCCAGGGAAGAAGUUAAUUGAGCAAAUGAAUUUGCAGGUUGGAGUUUGAGUCCAAUUAGUGCAAUGGUUGUUGUUAAGUGGAAUUAGUUGCUUGACUGAAUUUGAUGUCCAACUCAAUGUUGGUGUAGGGUUUAUGUAUUGUUGUUGCUGGUUUUUGGCUUAGGGCUAUGAAGUUAAAUGAACAUGACUGGCCCUAUUUCUGUUAGUAGUCUGGUUUAAUGAAUGAUUACAUUGAUAACUACCGAUGACUGUUGUGUGAGCUAGCUUCCUGCUAAAUGAACUGGUGACGGUCUUGUUAAAACCUAUGUUAUGAAUGCAAUGCUGUUAGAAUUUUGUUAUGCAGUUUGUAUUGUUAAUGCUUGUCGAUGCUGUUCGGAAUGUGCUGGAAUUGUGAUGGAUGAUGAGUGAUAUGCAUCCUGUUAUGAGGGUUCUUUGUGUUAGGUUUGAAUGUGUGACUGUUGUAUGCUAAUUAAAUCGGAUGCAUGACUGCUAUUAGGUAUUUUGUUAAGUUUCUACCAUGUUAAUGUAUCAGAGGGAUGCCGUUCAAAAUGCGGUUGCUUGUAAAUGAUGAUUAGUUGCUUGGUUAAUGGAUUGCUUUGGGGACUUGGUUGCUUGAUGUUGGUUUCUUAUUUAUUGGUUUUUUGAAGUAUUGAAUGGUUAUAAAAUAUGGUAUGUAAUGGAAAUGUUUAGGUUGACUUGUAUUCCUUGCAUUAUGAUUGAAAUGCUUUGGCCUGGACUGAAUGGUUUGUUGUAUGUGAUGUGCCAUGACCUGAAUUUACAGUUUGUGUUGAAGCUAGGACUGUAAUGGCUUUCUUAUUUGUGCAAGUUCUAGCUGUUGUUGGUUAUUGUCGUUGGACUCCACUUUGUGCAAGAAUGGCUUGAUGGGAUGUUAUAGAUUUUGGAUUAUUGUUGGUUCUAUGUGUUGACAGCAAUUUUGGUAAAACCUAGAGUGUUCACAAGUUGUCACAAGUGUUGUCUUGACAUAAGAUAACAUGUACUUGUAGGAUGUUUAAAAUGUGAAUAUACAGGAUUUUUACUGAGAUGUCAGACCCGAUGUCAUGACAUCUGUAUACAGAACAUUCAGUCUGAAUGUUAUGUAUUGUGUGAUUGCGUUUUUUAUGCUAAUUUAUGUAUGAUUGAAGAGAUGAUUAAACGCGCAUUAGUAAUUACAACCAGAUUGAAUUAUUUUCCAACGAUAUAUAAUCAGCUGUCAUGAGAAGAUAUGAAGGGAAAAUAGUUUUAGGGUUUUAUGAUGUCUAAUCCCAGCAAAAUGCUUCUAUAUAAAGGACAUGGAAAAUUUGGUUUUAUACACAAGAAAUACGAACGAAAUAUUAAGAGAGAAUAAGGGUUUUAGUCUUGUGUGGUCGUGUGUAUUGUAAGCCAUUCAUCCAUAGAUGAUUGAAUUGGACUGAUUUUUGAGUUGUAAUUUGUCUACUCUAAGCUUUGAAGCACGAGUGUGUGUUUACUUGAUUGAAGCUUUUAAGUAAGAUCAAAUAUGCGUCUUUGAAGAGUGUCUUCUUUUCAUUGUAAUUCUUAUUUUAUAUCACUGCUGUGAUUAAGGGGGAGUGAGUAGGAUCUCAUAUCUAAGAGUUCUUAGGUAGAAGUCACACGGGUAGAGAUUAGGUGAAAAGACUGUAACUUGAAGUUGUUUACUAAGAGUCUUUGAACUGAUUCUGUUUAGUGGAUCUAAGAGUUCUUAGGUAGAAGUCACACGGGUAGAGAUUAGGUGAAAAGACUGUAACUUGAAGUUGUUUACUAAGAGUCUUUGAACUGAUUCUGUUUAGUGGAUUUCCUUCCUGGCUUGGUAGCCCCCAGACGUAGGUGAAUUUGCACCGAACUGGGUUAACAAUUGCCUGUGUCUCUUACAUUACUGUUCUUUAUCUUUUAUCCUGUUUGUAUUGUUCAGAUAUUAGUGUCGUGAUAUUACCUUCGACAUCUCAUAUCUGAUACCAGAAUUUCAAUUAUGAUCAAGCUAGUUAGGGACUUGUUAUUGUACCAUUGAAGUGUUAUAAUUUUUGUAGUUUGGAAUGAAUCAUAUAAUUGGAAUGGUUGAAUGAAAAUGCUUGGAAAUUGAAUGUGGUUAUGUAGGUUAUGUAUUGAAAAUGAACAUGUAUUGAAAUUGUCAUGUGAUCAUAGUUUGAAAUGGACAUGGUUUGAUUUAUUUUUUGUAGGUGAUGGACAAAUGCCAAGAUGAUUUUGAAGAAGGAGGACAUUUAGGGAGGGUAGGAAUGAUGAGUUGACUUUGGUCAACUGGUUGAUAAAAAAGUCAACAGUUGAUCAAAUGUCAACUUUAUACAAAAAUGUAACUUUCCUUGUAAUAUUUCUAAUGCAAUGCAUAUGUCAAUGUAAUCCAAUGAAUGAAGUGUAUUCCUUAGUCAGAUGUUCUAAUGAAACAAGUGGAAUAGAAUGAAAUCA